rnacentral:rRNA from 1 species
GUAGGUGGCAAGCGUUGUCCGGAAUUAUUGGGCGUAAAGCGCGCGCAGGUGGUUCUUUAAGUCUGAUGUGAAAGCCCCCGGCUCAACCGGGGAGGGUCAUUGGAAACUGGGGAACUUGAGUGCAGGAGAGGAAAGUGGAAUUCCACGUGUAGCGGUGAAAUGCGUAGAUAUGUGGAGGAACACCAGUGGCGAAGGCGACUUUCUGGCCUGUAACUGACACUGAGGCGCGAAAGCGUGGGGAGCAAACAGGGAUUAGAUACCCUGGUAGUCCACGCCGUAAACGAUGAGUGCUAAGUGUUGGGGGGGUUUCCCGCCCCUCAGUGCUGCAGCUAACGCAUUAAGCACUCCGCCUGGGGAGUACGUCGCAAGACUG